AGGAGUGGCUGUUCUCUCCCUCUCACAGCGUUAACACACACAUGUAUGUUCUGGUCUUAACACAGACUACUCUACUAACUACCGGUCUAAAACACACCUGGAUCAGACUACUAACUACCGGUCUAAAACACACCUGGAUCAGACUACUCUACUAUCUACUGGUCUAAAACACACCUGGAUCAGACUACUAACUACCGGUCUAAAACACACCUGGAUCAGACUACUCUACUAACUACCGGUCUAAAACACACCUGGAUCAGACUACUCUACUAACUACCGGUCUAAAACACACCUGGAUCAGACUACUAACUACCGGUCUAAAACACACCUGGAUCAGACUACUCUACUAUCUACCGGUCUAAAACACACCUGGAUCAGACUACUAACUACUGGUCUAAAACAUACCUGGAUCAGACUACUAACUACUGGUCUAAAACACACCUGGAUCAGACUACUCUACUAACUACUGGUCUAAAACACACCUGGAUCAGACUACUAACUACCGGUCUAAAACACACCUGGAUCAGACUACUCUACUAUCUACUGGUCUAAAACACACCUGGAUCAGACUACUAACUACCGGUCUAAAACACACCUGUAUCAGACUACUCUACUAACUACCGGUCUAAAACACACCUUUAUCAGACUACUCUACUAACUACCGGUCUAAAACACACCUGGAUCAGACUACUCCACUAACUACCGGUCUAAAACACACCUGGAUCAGACUACUCUACUAACUACUGGUCUAAAACACACCUGGAUCAGACUACUCUACUAACUACCGGUCUAAAACACCCCUGGAUCAGACUACUCUACUAACUACUGGUCUAAAACACACCUGGAUCAGACUACUCUACUAACUACUGGUCUAAAACACACCUGGAUCAGACUACUCUACUAACUACUGGUCUAAAACACACCUGGAUCAGACUACUAACUACUGGUCUAAAACACACCUGGAUCAGACUACUCUACUAAGUACUGGUCUAAAACACACCUGGAUCAGACUACUUUACUAACUACCUGUCUAAAACACACCUGGAUCAGACUACUAACUACUGGUCUAAAACACCCCUGGAUCAGACUACUUUACUAACUACCGGUCUAAAACACCCCUGGAACAGACUACUCUACUAACUACUGGUCUAAAACACACCUGGAUCAGACUACUAACUACUGGUCUAAAACACACCUGGAUCAGACUACUAACUACUGGUCUAAAACACACCUGGAUCAGACUACUCUACUAACUACCGGUCUAAAACACACCUGGAUCAGACUACUCUACUAACUACCGGUCUAAAACACCCCUGGAUCAGACUACUCUACUAACUACUGGUCUAAAACACACCUGGAUCAGACUACUCUACUAACUACUGGAUCAGACUCAUUUCCACAGCAAAUGGAGCUGCCGUUCUCUGGUCUGGAGUUGACCUUCAUCAUCAUCGCCUUCAUCAUAUUUUCUCUCUUCAGCCUGGCCUCAGUCUGUACUCAGCCAGACACAGAGGAAGCUGUGUGUGAAAAGAAGAGGUUCCAAAGGAGACCAGAGAGGAAGCAACGUGUCAUCGUCAAACUGGCCUCUCAGAAAGAACCCUAAACACUGUCCCAAACUGGCUUCUCAGGAAGAACCCUAAACACGGUCCCAAGCUGGCUUCUCAGGAAGAACCCUAAACACUGUCCCAAACUGGCCUCUCAGGAAGAACCCUAAACACUGUCCCAAACUGGCCUCUCAGAAGGAACCCUAAACACUGUCCCAAACUGGCCUCUCAGGAAGAACCCUAAACACUGUCCCAAACUGGCCUCUCAGAAGGAACCCUAAACACUGUCCCAAACUGGCCUCUCAGAAAGAACCCUAAACACUGUCCCAAACUGGCCUCUCAGAAAGAACCCUAAACACUGUCCCAAACUGGCCUCUCAGAAAGAACCCUAAACACUGUCCCAAACUGGCCUCUCAGAAAUAACCCUAAACACAUUCCCAAACUGGCCUCUCAGGAAGAACCCUAAACACUGUCCCAAGCUGGCUUCUCAGAAAGAACCCUAAACACUGUCCCAAACUGGCCUCUCAGAAAGAACCCUAAACACUGUUAAGUGUCCCAAACGGGACCCUAUUCCCUACUGAUGGAUAACAUAUCGUCUGCCUGUUUCCUGAUGGAUAAUGUAGUGUCCGUCUGUUUCCUGGUGGAUAAUGUAGUGUCUGUCUGUCUGUUUCCUGAUGGAUAAUGUAGUGUCUAUCUGUCUGUUUCCUGAUGGAUAAUGUAGUGUCUGUCUCUCUGUCUGUUUCCUGAUCGAUAAUGUAGUGUCCGUCUGUUUCCUGGUGGAUAAUGUAGUGUCUGUCUGUCUGUUUCCUGAUGGAUAAUGUAGUGUCUAUCUGUCUGUUUCCUGAUGGAUAAUGUAGUGUCUGUCUGUCUGUCUGUUUCCUGAUGGAUAAUGUAGUGUCUAUCUGUCUGUUUCCUGAUGGAUAAUAAACUAUUUUAUUAUGUU